ensembl:lincRNA
AUGGAUCCAGUUUGCAUCAUGUUACCUGUAUGCAUGCUUUCAGGGCCGAAUAUUUGGUAUGGAGACGAUUUUAUAAUACCACAACCAAUCAAGUACAAAGUGUGGACUGCAGUUCCAAUGGAUACAAGCACAAAACAAUUCCCUCACCUUAUGUUGAAGAUGCCAAAAGGAGGAACCCCCAGCCCUCUGAGAACAGCUACUCCCAUCACCAGCAAGGGUCACUAUGACCUAGAAGAAAGCAGAGUGGUGUGCCAUAUUAGUUGUGGCCAUCAUGCCAUCCCCAGAGGUGACAGUCAUUCAAUGAAGAACAGCUUUCAGCGCGUGGCUUCUGUCUGCACUAAGCUGGGCACAAGGCAAGGUCAGCAUUUGGUUGUCCUUGAAGCAGCUUCUAGAAGUGAAGGGCACAGAGACAUGACAGUGGCACUGAGACUCAUGCUCACCCCACAUCCCUAGCUGCAGCUAAGGCUUGCCAUCCCAGCAUCAGAGAAACCGUCGUAGAAAACCUUCACAUAUGUGGAGAUGCACUAAUCUGCCAGCGACCCCCCACCACUGGGUCUUGCUCAACCUGCCCCUCUGGUUUUGUCCUACAUUUGUGCCUGUGAAGGUAUGGCUGUGCAGAGGCACAAGAAGGCCCAAUAGCUCACAUGCCACAAGGAGGGUUCAGGAAUGUUGGGGUGUGGUGGUCUUCAGCUAAAAUUUGGAAGACUCCUGCAUCUAGUCUCCUGAGGGAAAUGAAUCCCCAGGAGCAAAGCCCAUGCUCUCCCUGCUGGAGCCAGUAGAAGCCACAGAGUCUCCCACCAUGAGAAGGCCACAGUCACCGUUUUCCUAACUUAUGUGCAUGUGUGUGCCUGUUUGUUUAUAUGUGCACAGCACAGCUGCAUUGUCUGUGGAGGCUUCAGAUCCCUGCAACUGGAGUUACGGGCAGCUGUGCACCACUUGAUGUGAGCACCGGGAACCAAACCCAGGUCCUCAGCUAGUGUUCCUAACUGAUGAGCUUUCUCCCCAGCUCCUCCACAUUUCUCUUUAGAAACUGAUAGAGCCCACCCAAGGUUCCCCUUAGACACGCCCUCCAGACCUUCACAUACCCCACAGAGACCCCUAGACACUCCCCCAUGGACAUUUAGGGACAUCCACACAGAGAACCCCAAAGUUCCCUCUCAGACCCUCUCUUCCAGACCUUCAAGCGCCCUCCAUAGAGACUUCUGGCCAACACAGAAACACAUGUAAUAACACCCUCAACACCAGCAAUAGCACGUGAGCUCCAGAGCCCACAGAGCUCUCACACACACCCUUACAUUCUCAUGUCACCAUGCCAGCCACACUACACAAAGACUGGAAUAUGCUAACAUGUCGUCCAGGAAAGGUGGCCUACUAGGCCUCUUGAUUCUGACUUCACCUGGCUCCAGCCAUUUGCUGUCAUCUGCGGUGAUGACGCCAAAGCACCUGCUCCCUUAGCUCAGGACCUGGACUCCCCACCACCUGUUCAUUGAAGCCUUAACGAUCUUUACCAUUCCUCAGCAAUGGUCACAUGACCCCAAGAUGACUCUCAACUUGGGGAUCCUUCUGAAGCUUUGGAAUAAGCACCCCACACACUACCCUUCUAUUCCUGGGGUAACCAGCUGAACAUUUCACACACCAUUUUCACUAUCAUGGAAGCUCAGAGGGAAGCAUGCUCAGGUUUUGUAUACCAUGGUCCCUGGAGUGAGGCAAACUUUAGUGGUUUCCCUUGCUUCAGCUAUAAAACAGGGCAGCGGGUGAGUGUUAAUACUGCAUGAAGGGAAAUGAGUUGCAAGACUGAAACACUAUGGUAGCCUUCUGGAUCAUUUUCCUAUCAUUCUUUUUUUGUGUGUGUGUGCAUUGUCACUGAUGUGAUUUUCACUGCUAAACCAUACACAAUAAAGUUUUUCCAAUAAAAUCAAACAAUGUCAUUUUAGCACAAAAGUUAGCAUUUGUAUCUAUUAGAAAGUCACAGUACACACAAUAAAAUAAUCUGCAUAAUCUUUCAGGUCAUUUUUUUCCACGUCACUUCCUGGCACAUGGCACGCACAGGGCUUACCUAACUUCCUCUGAUGGUAAAGGUCUCGUCCACAAUCCCAAAGCAUUUGCAGCUUUGACCUUGAAAACAUGGGCCUUACGGGGUUUGGCCCUUCCAAG